AUACCUUUCUCGGCCUUUUGGCUAAGAUCAAGUGUAGUAUCUGUUCUUAUCAGUUUAAUAUCUGAUAUGUGGGCCAUUGGCUUCACACGAUAUUAACUCUAUUUUUUAAGGGAGAAAGUCCGCGUUGAUAGCUUGCUAUCUGGGCUUUCAGGAGUCGCCUAUGCGUUGCACUACUGCACGGGCCUGGCUCAACCCGC
rnacentral:snRNA from 1 species